rnacentral:rRNA from 1 species
CAGCAGCCACGGUAAAACGUAGGUGGCAAGCGUUGCCCGGAAUUAUUGGGCGUAAAGGGCUCGCAGGCGGUUUCUUAAGUCUGAUGUGAAAGCCCCCGGCUCAACCGGGGAGGGUCAUUGGAAACUGGGAAACUUGAGUGCAGAAGAGGAGAGUGGAAUUCCACGUGUAGCGGUGAAAUGCGUAGAGAUGUGGAGGAACACCAGUGGCGAAGGCGACUCUCUGGUCUGUAACUGACGCUGAGGAGCGAAAGCGUGGGGAGCGAACAGGAUUAGAUACCCGCGUAGUCCCUGUCUCUUAUAC